rnacentral:lncRNA from 1 species
CGGUGAACCUGGGGUUCGUGUGAGGGCACUGGGUGUAGAAUAGAUGCUCAGUCAAAGGUGGCUACAUUGUGUCAUUGCCAUAAGGGUCGUGAUUGUCCCACCACUCAUUAUCCUAGUCUGAUUUUAGCUUCUGCUCUCUGGUGAAUCUUGAGUUCUGUAGCCUUGCUCCAAGCUCUGGGAUUUCAGCUAUAAUUAGUCUUAUACACAGUGCCAUGCCUGGAACUUCCAGGCUAGGAGAAGAGACUGGACUUAACAAUUGAUCAACCCCAUAGGACACGAAUGGGGCAAGCUCUGUGGGUGCAGAGGUGGCCUAUGGGGUCUCACCCAGACCAGCGAGAGAGGUUCCACCAGGAGCCUUCAGCCUGGUAAACAGCAGGGCAGGGCUGUGACUCCGAUCUUGCUCUGCCUGGCUCUGAAGACGCCGUGUUCUUUGGUAGCUAUGCAGUGAGGUCACCAUGCUCUAGGAACCAACAUUUGUCCUAUUUGGUGUCACCUCAGUCGUUUGGGUUCAGUCCUCAAAAUAGGACACAAGCAUCCACCGACGGGGUGAAGAGAGGAGAACCUGGUUCUGGGAAGAGGACUGCGGUGAGAUGGAUUGGACUGGGGAGAUGCUAGAGAUGGGGACCUGUUGGGGUUACUGUGUUGUCCAGGUGAGAAGUUAAGAGUGUCCAGAUCCCAGUGGAGAGAAGAGUGGAGGGAGAAGUCCUGAGGCUCUUGCAGAGGAAGGAUGGGACUGGAUAACGGGGAUCACGGGGGAGGAGACAGAAAGACUCCCUGGCCCUGAGCCAGG